UGGGGUCCUUAACUUCGUGUAUUUGAAACUAUAUGUGACCAUACUUAUCUUGGUAUUGUCUGAUAAAAACUAGGAGAAUGUGAAUCACGAUUUACAAGUCAAUUUCUAUUAACCUGACAGAUAUAUACAUAGAAUUGGUAUAUGAUUAUAAACUUGCUGAAAAGAAAUGCUGAACGUGUGGUUGGAACAAGAGAAAAGUUUGAGGCUGAAUAUAAUCAAAUAUAGGUACUAGUUAACCUAGCUAGUGGUACUCGAUGAGGGUCGCAUGGGAUGAUCUCGCGCCAAAUCUGGCAAUACUCGCACAAGAAAGUCACGAAAGCGUGUUGUGAAUGACAUCAGUUAACUAUUGUUUUGAUUAUAAAAUUUUAGGCAGGUCGUAAUAUAUGAUUUGGUGACAGUUUCAGUUAGGC
rnacentral:lncRNA from 1 species